AGGUUGGAUCCGUGCAUGGGCUGGACGCUAGGCAUUCUCCUUGCUUGCAUGGCCUAAGCGUGCGCAGGCAUUGGGCAUGCGCCUAGUGCUUGCCGGGGUUGGGCGUGUGCUGGGCACUAGGCAUGUACUUAUGUUAAAUGCCUCAGGUGGACGUGGGGUGUCAAGUGCCUGGCCUGCUGUGCACUUGCACAUGCUGCACGCAUGUGCGCACUAUUUGUAUGUAUACUCACGCGUGGAGUGCUGUGUCACACAGCUGGUGGCCUUCCAUGUGUGGGUGAGCCUUUCCACACAUUUUAAAGGCAAAUCACAUGUGCCGCGCAUGAUGUCCACU
rnacentral:lncRNA from 1 species